GACGAACGCUGGCGGCGUGCUUAACACAUGCAAGUCGAACGGAAAGGCCCUGCUUUUGUGGGGUGCUCGAGUGGCGAACGGGUGAGUAACACGUGAGUAACCUGCCCUUGACUUUGGGAUAACUUCAGGAAACUGGGGCUAAUACCGGAUAGGAGCUCCUGCUGCAUGGUGGGGGUUGGAAAGUUUCGGCGGUUGGGGAUGGUCUCGCGGCUUAUCAGCUUGUUGGUGGGGUAGGGGCUUACCAAGGCUUUGACGGGUAGCCGGCCUGAGAGGGUGACCGGCCACAAUGGGACUGAGGUACGGACCAGACUCGUACGGGCGGCAGCGGUGGAAAAUAUUACGCAAUGGGCGGACGCCAGAUGUAGAGACGCCGCGUGCGGGAAAAUGGCCUUCGAGUGAUGAACCGCUUUCGACUGUAACAAGGCCGGAGUGACGGUAAUGGAUAAGAAAGCACCGGCUAACUACGUG
rnacentral:rRNA from 1 species